UGGGGGAUAUUGCACAAUGGGCGAAAGCCUGAUGCAGCGACGCCGCGUGAACGAAGAAGGCUUUCGAGUCGUAAAGUUCUUUUAUAUGGGAAGAUAAUGACGGUACCAUAAGAAAAAGCCCCGGCUAACUACGUGCCAGCAGCCGCGGUAAUACGUAGGGGGCUAGCGUUGUCCGGAAUCACUGGGCGUAAAGGGUUCGCAGGCGGAAAUGCAAGUCAGGUGUAAAAGGCAGUAGCUUAACUACUGUAAGCAUUUGAAACUGCAUAUCUUGAGAAGAGUAGAGGUAAGUGGAAUUUUUAGUGUAGCGGUGAAAUGCGUAGAUAUUAAAAAGAAUACCGGUGGCGAAGGCGACUUACUGGGCUCAUUCUGACGCUGAGGAACGAAAGCGUGGGUAGCAAACAGG
rnacentral:rRNA from 1 species